AAAAUUUUUACCAAUGCACCAAUAAACAUUCUUUAUUUGUAUACUGUCGCAGUCACACAGUUUGUCUUGGAUCAAAGAAAUUGUUGCAUUAUACAAAUCAUUAAUUCAGCCAUAUUUUGAUUAUUGCUCUCCCCUGUGGGAUACAUGCGAUAAAAUAUUAAAAGAUAAAUUGCAAAUACUAGAAAAUCGUGCGGCUAGGGUUAUCACUGGAGCAAGAUAUGAUGAUAGGAUUAGCUCGAGUGAUCUUUUGGAAGGUUUAGGAUGGGAUAAUCUACAUGUUAGGUGGGCUAAGUUGAAGAGUAUCCUAAUGUAUAAAGUCCUUAAUGAAAAUUGUUCGCCAUGUUUAAGAGAAAGCUUCGUAAGACUUAGAGAACUUAAUAGAGGCCAUAAUUUACGAAAUCAGGAAACGGUCUAGCUAGAUCCGAAACCAAAAACUAAUUUUUUGAAGCGAAGCUUUAAAUGUAGUGCGUCAAUGCUGUGGAAUAAUCUUCCAUUAGAUGCAAAAAGAGCGACUUUGCUCAGUCAGUGUAAGGAUAGUAUUGCGGAACUGUCCUUUUAGAACCAUGUUG